AAAAGUUUCAUCCUAUAGACCAAAAUGUGAACAAUACAGAGAAGAUGAACAUGGCCCAUGUAUAAAGGUGAUAGACAAAAUCAGGAACCAUUCCAUAUUAGU